rnacentral:rRNA from 1 species
UACGUAGGGGGCUAGCGUUGUCCGGAUUUACUGGGCGUAAAGGGCGCGUAGGCGGCCACUGCAAGUCGGUUGUGAAAUCUCCGGGCUUAACCCGGAAAGGUCAAUCGAUACUGCAGGGCUAGAGUGCGGAAGGGGCAACUGGAAUUCUCGGUGUAGCGGUGAAAUGCGUAGAUAUCGAGAGGAACACCUGCGGCGAAGGCGGGUUGCUGGGCCGACACUGACGCUGGACAGCGCGAAAGCUAGGGGAGCGAACGGG